UGAAAACUGAAGUUAGAUUUUAAUGCUUUUCAGCAUGUAACUUUCAUUGACAAGGAGUACCACAACAGCAUCUGAGUUCUUCAAAAUGCUUUGCCUUGCCUGUUAAAUAACAUCUAGUGAAUUUUUAGGGACCUUGGAAAAAUAUAAACAACAUAAAUUAGUCUGAGGCAUUAGGAGCUUCAUUGACUCAAAGAAUAACAAAAUGACCAAAUGAGGGCAGCUUCCAUUAAGGAAAAAGUCCAAUGAAGUGUUUGCCUGAUAACGGAGGCAGCACUGACCCAUGUCAUCCUGCACUGUGAGAAUAAAUACAAUUACAUAUAAGGAACAAAGCUCUGCAGAUCAUACGGACAACAAUCAGUCUGAAAAGGUUACUUUGUCUUUCCAGAUAUUUACUUCACCUGUUAGAACUAUAAGACAUGUAGGUGAAUGUUUCUGUUGCUAGGGAAAAACAAAUUACUGAAAAAUUAGAGGUUUGAAUAAACUUUGAAUCUAACAGAAAUUACAGUGAAUGUAAAGAAAAGCAAGGCUAAGUUUGAAACACUAGUUAAAAUAUCAAUGAUGACAAAGAAAAAAUUAAAAGGAGUUGAGAGCAACUAGAAAAAAUUCUUUCCUGCCACACAUUACAUGAUAUCAAGAACAACAUUUCUGAAAUUUGAUCCAUAAAAGCAAAAUAGUGCAUAGAAUUUUAUUGCUGAUUCUCGAGUAGAUGUAUUGCAACAAAAAAAUAACCAGCUGCUGAAUUCGAAAAAAGGUAUUGUUAAGAUGAUAAAUUAAUUCACCAGUAGAGAAUGCAGGUGAAAGUACAUUGUGAAUGAAUAACUGACUGGACAGUAAAAAAAUGAUCAGUUAUGGCAUGCAGGGAAUAGUAUAAUGUUUAUUUUAUGUCUGUAUUUGUUUCACAUUCUGGUGAUUGAUGUUGUGAUUGUAUGACAGGAUAUGGAAUGUGUCAGUAUUACAAAUUUGUUAUGGUAUUAUGUGAGUGGCACAAUUAUUCAUAUUUAAAUAUCUACACCUUAGGUUCUAGGGCAGAAAAAUAAAUUUUACAGUUAAAUAAACAUUACAUAAAAUAUAUUAUAGAAAAAUAAAUACAUUUACAAUAAUAAACAAACAGCAUCACAAAUGAAAAUCUUGGAAUGUAUCUGAGUGUUACAGGUACUAUUCA